GCCCUCGUAGCUCAGUGGAUAGAGUCCCCGCCUCCGAAGCGGGUUGCGCAGGUUCGAUUCCUGCCGAGGGCG
rnacentral:tRNA from 1 species